rnacentral:rRNA from 1 species
GAUGAACGCUGGCGGCGUGCCUAAUACAUGCAAGUCGAGCGAAUGGAUUAAGAGCUUGCUCUUAUGAAGUUAGCGGCGGACGGGUGAGUAACACGUGGGUAACCUGCCCAUAAGACUGGGAUAACUCCGGGAAACCGGGGCUAAUACCGGAUAACAUUUUGAACCGCAUGGGUCGAAAUUGAAAGGCUGCUUCGGCUGUCACUUAUGGAUGGACCCGCGUCGCAUUAGCUAGUUGGGGAGGUAACGGCUCACCAAGGCAACGAUGCGUAGCCGACCUGAGAGGGUGAUCGGCCACACUGGGACUGAGACACGGCCCAGACUCCUACGGGAGGCAGCAGUAGGGAAUCUUCCGCAAUGGACGAAAGUCUGACGGAGCAACGCCGCGUGAGUGAUGAAGGCUUUCGGGUCGUAAAACUCUGUUGUUAGGGAAGAACAAGUGCUAGUUGAAUAAGCUGACACCUUGACGGUACCUAACCAGAAAGCCACGGCUAACUACGUGCCAGCCGCCGCAGUAA